UACAGAGGGGGCAAGCGUUAUUCGGAAUUAUUGGGCGUAAAGGGCGCGUAGGCGGCCAUUCAAGUGACGGGUGAAAGCCCUCGGCUUAACCGAGGAACUGCCUGUCAGACUGGAUGGCUUGAGACCGGGAGAGGUGAGUGGAAUUCCCAGUGUAGCGGUGAAAUGCGUAGAUAUCAGGAGGAAUACCGGUGGCGAAAGCGACUCUCUGGACGGCAACUGACGCUGAGGCGCGAAAAGCUAGGGGAGCAAACAGG
rnacentral:rRNA from 1 species